AUUCUAAGACUUACUAAAGUGACCCGUCUGUAACAGCUCAGGAUUCAUCUCCUGAAUUUUCUGCCCCCAACUACCCCUGUGUCUUCUCCAUCUUCUCAAAAGUUCGAGUUACAUUUUUGCCUCUAAGUGCAAACUGGUGGGAACCAAGAUCAAAUCUUAUGCCUCAUGUUGGCAAAAUGAUUAACACCAAGAGUUGAAAAUAAGGUUGGAGGAAAGUGAAGAAAAGACCCCACAACGUCUGAUAGGACCCCAAACACAGAAGGCCAUGAGGUGUGACAGCUGGGACUCAGCCUGCCCUGCAGCUCCAUCACACCUCCCCUUUCACAGUGGGAGUGGGGAAGAGAACACAUCCUCAGUGGGUGAUGGGGAUUCAAAGAGGUCAUCCACUCCCUCACUGCUCGUUCCUGGCCUUCACCAUCCACCUCCUUUCCCAGAAGAAAUGCACCCCCUCCCUGUUCUUUGUUUUCAUCCAUCUGUUCUGGUUAUUUAAUGUUCUCUCUCUCUCUCAUGCUUCAUAUCCCAAAAGGCCCUGUCUGACGUUCCUUCCCUCCCACUCCUGCUUCAUGUCCUAGUUUUUCCUCUCAGAUUUCCCAACCCAUCUUCCGUUUCCUCUUGAAGCAACCGCUUCCCCAACGCAGAGCUCACAUGUUUCGUUCUUUCCUCCUGCAGCUCUGUGGGCCUCUCCCUUUCUAUUUUCCACUCUUGAAAGCAACUUUCCUUUCCUUUAUCACUCAUUGCAUUUUGGUUUAGAGGAAGUAAGGUGCUGCCAAGGGUGUGCAGUCACACCAACCAGGAGUGUGCACCACAGGCACCACCCAACAUCCCAUGGACAGUGAGAAGCUAACGUUCAAGAGAUGGAACCAGCGUGAAUGAGAAGAUGUUCUGAGAUCAUUUUGGAAAGUGGAGAGAAAUGACCACAUUGACAAUGUGCCAUUUCUCUUGGAGGCAAAGACUACUUUAUCAAACUGCAGACCCACAAGACACACCACAGAACCCAGCCUCUGGAGGCUCUACUGAAGAGUCAGUGAAAGCGAAGCAAUUCCCAAGUCCAGAAGAUCCCUUAUCAACUCCCUACCCGGGGCAGCCUGGAGGGGAAGCCCAGACGCAAUGAGUUUUGCUUCAUCCACCAUUAAUAACCGAAAGGGCUUCCCCCUAAAGAUCGGGUGUCAAGAGCUGAGAUACUGACACCACUGCUACUUCUGCUCCUCCUCUAAGUCAUCAUCAUCUGAAAUACUGGAGGAUCAUGAUUCAUUGGAAUAAAACCAGCAUAUUCUCUCCUGCAGAGGAUGGUCCUAGGAAAGUUCUGGAAGGACUAGAAAAAAACAGCAGCAGAGCAGAGAGGAAAUGUGUAAUCCAAGGCAGGCCCUGCACUGCUUUGAGCUUCCCCUCAACACACCAGGGACACUCCAGCUCUCCCAGCAGUGGGAAAAGAACCGAGUGAAGAUGGCUGGAAGGAAUGCAGGAUCCAGAAGAACAAGAAGGAAGCACAAGUCCCCAGGAGGGCCCUCGAGACUCAACUGGAACCUAAAUGCAGGGCAUCCCGAGCCCCAACGUUGCUCUGCUGGGAUGGAAUGGGAAGAGGCAGAAGCAAGACAGGGAAAGAGCGCUCCUUCAAGGAUGGUAGGAGUUUCAUUCCUCCUUGGAAUGUGUUUGACUCUCUGCAGUUUCUAGCAUUUGCUUCUCAAGACAAACGUUGCUUGAUAAAAAUGUGACAAGGAAAUUAAAAGAAAAUAUCACAAAAUCAACUCUCCUUCAUUUUCUUAACAAACCAAGACUUUAAAACCUUCAAGCAAUAUAGCCAAGGCCUCCUCACUGUGACAGUCAGGUUUUAAAAAAGUCAAACAUUUUUUUCCAAAAACAGGGUAUAUUCUUCUAUUAUUCUCUUGAUCUGUUACCUAAGCAUCUUUCAAUUUUUAGCUGUUUGUGCUUACCUCCUCAACACAAGAAACAAAAAUGCUGUGCGCAUGAUUUGCUUGUAGUUCCAAACAUACUGAAAAACUAAGGCCUUCAGUAGGAGGCAUUUGAUAUAUCUAGAUUAUUUCCUUAUAACCUUAAAAAAAUGAAGUUUAUAAAAUAUGUAGGGAGAAAGGAUAAGUAUUAAAUAAUUAUGUUUUCAUUCCAGCUUUAACAUGAUCAAAUCUGCCUUUUUAAAUAAAAAAGGAAUAUAUUUAGUUCACUGUAUUAGAAUCCUGACUUAAGAUUUACUUUCCCUUAAGUGCCCCCCGAAAGACUGGCAUCUUCCGAGUAGACUUGGAAAGAAAAUUCCUAUAGCUUUGCCACUGGAACUGACUCCCAGAAUGAAGAGGUGUCUCUGCUUUUGGGUGGGGGGUACAUUGCCCCCUUAUUUUAAUUUCUUAGCACAUAUUUCUGUAGGUGCUGGGAAAGUAUCUUUCUCCUUAGAAAAAGCCUGCGGUGGGUGCUUGCAUCCUUCCAUAUCCUGCAAACAGAUGAUAGGAGCGUCUGGCAGGGGGAAAAAAAAACAAAGCAAAAGAAAACAUCUGCCUCUGGCUCAUUACAUUACGAGGCAGUGCAUUUCACCGUUCCAGGGCUCUGACUGCCACACUUCCUUCCCUCUAGGGAGCUGAAGUCUGCCUUUCUAUAAAUCUCAGUCCUCUGAGGCAUCAGCCGAGCCAGUGUGCUUCCUGAUCCAUGUGGAAGCCCUUACCGAUGGGCAGGAGGUUCCACGCUGGCAGGCUCUUCUCCAGACCAAACACUGUCAGUGUCUUCAACUGACCCACCGACGGUUUGCCUGUAGACCGUCCACGGCCCUGGUCACUCUUGGUGGUCACCCUUCGAUUGCUCAAUGCUCAUCACACAAUGGGAUCCCCAGAAUUAAAAGAUUCGGGAUGUGUCUGAGCGGCAGAGAGAAGGGGAUAUUUUACAACAUUGCCAUAGCUCUGUCAUUAAUGAGCAAAUGCA